CGCCUGAAGGAAGAAGCCAGCGCGCCUCACAGACCCCGAGGGGGCUGCGGCUCGGCGGGUGGGGUUAACCGCAACGGACGCGCUUAGCAAAGAGGAAAAUAGGCGCCGGAUGAGCGACAGUUACGGCUCGAAGCCCCGAAAGCAGCCUGGAUGAGCCAAUGACAGGUGAGCACACGCCACGCGCCACACGCGUCACUUCUGAGCCCAGGCCUCACGAGCCAGCUCAUGGCUGUCUGGGGGACGACCUGGGCCCAUGCAUGAAGAUGCAGAGCAGAGCCCAGGUGACCAGCGUUGGACAGGGCACCCGGGUGCGUCUGACCCCUUCUGCGAACCACCAAGACUCGGGCUCACUUGAGCAUCAGGCCUACUCACGUGUGGGUCCACGGGUGCCUUGCGCUAACCCUCGGCCUGCAGGCUGCAUCUGCAAACGUCCAGGGAAUGCCUCGCCUUUGGACUGGAGCCCACUUCUCAUCCAGAACGUUUCUUCUCACGUACUGGGGAUGGAUUCAUACCCUAGAAACUCUCCUUUGGAAAAACUAGGACUGGGGGCAGGCGCUGUCGCCCACAACGCCGGCAUCCCCUGGGGGCGCCACUUCCUGUCCCAGCUGCUCCACUUCCAGUCCAGCUCCCUGCUGAUGGCCUGGGAGAAGCAGUGGAAGAUGGCCCGAGUGCCUGGGCCCCUGCACCCACGUGGGAGACCUGGAUGAAGCUCCUGUCUCCUGGCUCCAGCCUGGCCCAGCCCUGGCCAUCACUGCCAUCUGCGGAGUGAACCGGUGGACGGAAGACCUCUCUCUCUUGCUCUCUCUCGGUCUCUGUCUCUCUGCCUGUAACUCAGACUUUCAAAUAAAUAAAAAAAGAAAAGAAAAA